rnacentral:rRNA from 1 species
GUAGGUGGCAAGCGUUGUCCGGAAUUAUUGGGCGUAAAGCGCGCGCAGGCGGUCCUUUAAGUCUGAUGUGAAAGCCCACGGCUCAACCGUGGAGGGUCAUUGGAAACUGGGGGACUUGAGUACAGAAGAGGAAAGCGGAAUUCCAAGUGUAGCGGUGAAAUGCGUAGAGAUUUGGAGGAACACCAGUGGCGAAGGCGGCUUCCUGGUCUGUAACUGACGCUGAGGCGCGAAAGCGUGGGGAGCAAACAGGAUUAGAUACCCUGGUAGUCCACGCCGUAAACGAUGAGUGCUAAGUGUUAGGGGGUUUCCCGCCCCCUUAGUGCUGCAGCUAACGCAUUAAGCACUCCGCCUGGGGAGUACGGCCGCAAGGCUG